ACUCUUGCCUACAACAACCAUGAGAAUCUUUCACUAGUUUUGGUAGACUAGAAAACUGAAAAAACGGGGCUUAAUGUAGUUUCAAUAAAAUCUUGUAGUGAUUUUAAGGACCCUUUUGAUUGGAAGCGCUUCAUAGAAGUCUUGAAAGAUGAUGUUGAGAUAGUGGAGUUCCUCUCACAUUUAAGUGUAAAAAUGUUACAUAUUGCAGAUGGCUAUGAUAUUCUAGUUUGGGGAUAUUUGGAUUAUAGUCCAUCUACAGUAGGAGACCCAUCAAAUGGAUAAUUUGGAUGGGAACUGAGACCUGAUUAAACUAGGUGAUUUGUGAGACUUUUUUCUAUUUGGUGUAUAUGGAUUGUUUGAUCUGAUAACAAAGAGUGGCCCAUAUCUUGAAGGCAAAAUUUUCCACUAAAAACAUCUCAUUACUGUAUUUUGAGGUUAUUUUUUCAUUGUAUCCAUAUUCUCCUGACAUUCUUCACUAUUGUAUUUAGAGAAGAUAAAUUUCUUAUACGUUUCUCUCUAACUCUGAGAUUGAUGGUUAUAGAGUAGUGUAGAAUGUGGUUGUCCCAUUUGACAGCUGUAGAUGCGGCCGUUACGAACUUUAUGUAGGCCUUUGUACUGCUACAUAUAUCUUCAUUAUUUAAGUAAGCUCUAAUCCAGUCAUGUGUAUAACUGCAUGAUGAUGGAGCCACAAAUCACUUCUAAUAUCCAGCCAUCACUUCUGUUGAUUUUUUCAUUACAACUUUCAUUGAUAUCUACGAGCAUGGUUUGGACUGCAGUUUGUCUGUCAAAGCUUGAGUUCUGAGGUUGCGGUGGAAUGAAAUGUCAGGUUUCUUUUGGGAAAAAGUUCCAUUCAUUUUUUGGGAAAUGGUGGAAAAGGAAAUUGAUUUCCACACAUAUUUUUGCUUUUGCAAUCACAAGAAAACAUCACAUCUAUGGAAAUUGAUUUCAUUUCCACUAUUUUCUAGAGUUCUCCACCAAUCCAAACUGUUGGAAGGAAUAGAAAAAGCAGCAUGGUAAAAGGGUGGUGAUGUCAAAAUGGCAGAUGCCACAACGUCAAAGACUGAAAAGAAGGUGGUAAUUUUCUUGACUAUGUGGCUAUGAUACUUUUUUCAGCUCUAUAUUACAAAACUUGACGGCCAUGUACUAAAUUGAUAGAGCCUAAAACACUUGCAAUGCCUAGUGCCCAGACUUCUAGAUCAAAAACCCUAUUUGUUGGCAACCUAUCCUAUUAUGUCGAAACAGCUGAUGUGUAAUUAUCAUUUAAUACCAGAGAACUACUCUUGUGACGAGAUUUUAAUUUCUCAAUGUGUAUGGGAAAUAAGAUGGCUACAUCUGAUAAAAUGAGAUAAUUUGCUUCCUU